UACGUAGGUGGCGAGCGUUGUCCGGAUUUACUGGGCGUAAAGAGCGCGCAGGCGGUCGUGCAAGUCGCGUGUGAAAGCCCCCGGCUCAACUGGGGAGGGUCCCGCGAUACUGCUCGACUCGAAGGCAGGAGAGGGAAGUGGAAUUCCCGGUGUAGUGGUGAAAUGCGUAGAUAUCGGGAGGAACACCAGUGGCGAAGGCGACUUCCUGGCCUGUUCUUGACGCUGAGGCGCGAAAGCUAGGGUAGCAAACGGG
rnacentral:rRNA from 1 species